rnacentral:rRNA from 1 species
CGUAGGGUGCGAGCGUUAAUCGGAAUUACUGGGCGUAAAGUGUGCGCAGGUGGCCGCGCAUGUCGAGUGUGAAAUCCCCGGGCUUAACUUGGGAAUUGCGCCCGAAACUACGUGGCUGGAGUGUGGCAGAGGAAGGUGGAAUUCCAGGUGUAGCGGUGAAAUGCGUAGAGAUCUGGAGGAACACCGAUGGCGAAGGCAGCCUUCUGGGCCAACACUGACACUCAUGCACGAAAGCGUGGGGAGCAAACAGGAUUAGAUACCCUGGUAGUCCACGCCCUAAACGAUGAUGACUAGUUGUUGGAGGAGUUAAAUCCUUUAGUAACGCAGCUAACGCGUGAAGUCAUCCGCCUGGGGAGUACGGUCGCAAGAUUA